GAUGAACGCUAGCGGCAGGCCUAAUACAUGCAAGACGAACGGUAAGUUGAGUAGCAAUACUUGACCUAGAGUGUCGUACGGGUGCGUAACACGUAUGCAACCUACCCAUAACAGGAGGAUAGCUCCCCGAAAGGGGAAUUAACCCUCCAUAGUAAUAUUGAAUGGCAUCAUUUGGUAUUUAAAACUCCGGUGGUUAUGGAUGGGCAUGCGUCUGAUUAGUUAGUUGGCGGGGUAACGGCCCACCAAGGCGAUGAUCAGUAGGGGAACUGAGAGGUUGAUCCCCCACACUGGCACUGAGAUACGGGCCAGACUCCUACGGGAGGCAGCAGUAGGGAAUAUUGGUCAAUGGAUGGAAGUCUGAACCAGCCAUGCCGCGUGCAGGAAGAAGGUCUUAUGGGUUGUAAACUGCUUUUGCCAGGGGAUAAGAUAGCUGUGCGCAGCGAAUUGCAGGUACCUGGUGAAUAAGCCACGGCUAACUACGUGCCAGCAGCCGCGGUAAUACGUAGGUGGCAAGCGUUGUCCGGAUUUAUUGGGUUUAAAGGGUGCGUAGGCGGCCCUGUAAGUCAGUGGUGAAAUACUCCAGCUUAACUGGAGGGGUGCCAUUGAUACUGCAGGGCUUGAGUGGAGUAGAAGUAGGCGGAAUUGACGGUGUAGCGGUGAAAUGCUUAGAUAUCGUCAAGAACACCGAUAGUGAAGACAGCUUACUAUGCUUCAACUGACGCUGAGGCACGAAAGUGUGGGGAUCAAACAGGAUUAGAUACCCUGGUAGUCCACACUGUAAACGUUGAUGACUCGCUGUUGGCGAUACACAGCCAGCGGCCAAGCGCAAGCGAUAAGUCAUCCACCUGGGGAGUACGCCGGCAACGGUG
rnacentral:rRNA from 1 species